rnacentral:miRNA from 1 species
UCCCUUCCAAUCAAUGAGGUAUACCUUCCAAUCAAUGAGGUAUACCUUCCAAUCAAUGAGGUUGUUACAUCUCAUCAACCUUCCAAUCGAUGAGGUAUAACAACCUCAUAAGCCGGAAGGGAUUCUCUCUGGUUGAUGAGGUAUGACAACCUCAUUGGCUGGAAGGGA